UGGGGAAUAUUGGACAAUGGGCGAAAGCCUGAUCCAGCCAUGCCGCGUGAGUGACGAAGGCCUUAGGGUUGUAAAGCUCUUUCGGCAGGAACGAAACGGUUUGGGCUAAUACCCCAGACUACUGACGGUACCUGAAGAAGAAGCACCGGCUAACUACGUGCCAGCAGCCGCGGUAAUACGUAGGGUGCGAGCGUUAAUCGGAUUUACUGGGCGUAAAGCAUGCGCAGGCGGCGGUUCAAGUCAGGUGUGAAAUCCCCGAGCUUAACUUGGGAAUUGCGCUUGAAACUAGAUCGCUAGAGUACGGCAGAGGGGGGUAGAAUUCCACGUGUAGCAGUGAAAUGCGUAGAGAUGUGGAGGAACACCGAUGGCGAAGGCAGCCCCCUGGGCCUGUACUGACGCUCAUGCAUGAAAGCGUGGGGAGCAAACAGGAUUAGAUACCCGAGUAGUCCCUGAGCGGGCUGGCAAGGCGCAU
rnacentral:rRNA from 1 species